ACUCCUACGGGAGGCAGCAGUAGGGAAUCUUCCACAAUGGGCGAAAGCCUGAUGGAGCAACGCCGCGUGGGUGAAGAAGGUCUUCGGAUCGUAAAACCCUGUUGUUAGAGAAGAAAGUGCGUGAGAGUAACUGUUCACGUUUCGACGGUAUCUAACCAGAAAGCCACGGCUAACUACGUGCCAGCAGCCGCGGUAAUACGUAGGUGGCAAGCGUUAUCCGGAUUUAUUGGGGCGUAAAGGGAACGCAGGCGGUCUUUUAAGUCUGAUGUGAAAGCCUUCGGCUUAACCGGAGUAGUGCAUUGGAAACUGGGAGACUUGAGUGCAGAAGAGGAGAGUGGAACUCCAUGUGUAGCGGUGAAAUGCGUAGAUAUAUGGAAGAACACCAGUGGCGAAAGCGGCUCUCUGGUCUGUAACUGACGCUGAGGUUCGAAAGCGUGGGUAGCAAACAGGAUUAGAUA
rnacentral:rRNA from 1 species